AAUACUUUCGGUUUCUUUAUAAAGUGGGAAAGAAACUGGGAUAUGAUGAUCGUGUCCAUGAAGGAAUUAGAAGAUCGGACGGCCAGAAAGUUGACAUCAAAUUUGUUGAGAGGUGCAGACUUUGGGAAACAUCGCCUGAGUUUGAGGAAGAGGGCACUACAUUGCUGAAAAUGCAAAAGCCUCCAACUUGCGACCAUUU